rnacentral:rRNA from 1 species
GUAGGGGGCAAGCGUUGUCCGGAUUUACUGGGCGUAAAGCGCGUGUAGGCGGCCGCGCAGGUCCGUUGUGAAAACUAGAGGCUCAACCUCUAGACGUCGACGGAAACCGUGUGGCUAGAGUCCGGAAGAGGAGAGUGGAAUUCCUGGUGUAGCGGUGAAAUGCGCAGAUAUCAGGAAGAACACCAAUGGCGAAGGCAGCUCUCUGGGACGGUACUGACGCUGAGACGCGAAAGCGUGGGGAGCGAACAGGAUUAGAUACCCUGGUAGUCCACGCCGUAAACGAUGGGUGCUAGGUGUGGGAGGUGUCGACUCCUUCCGUGCCGUAGCUAACGCAUUAAGCACCCCGCCUGGGGAGUACGGCCGCAAGGCUAAA